AUGAGGUGUGGCGGGAAGGGAGAUGGGAGCGAGGGGAGUUGGGGUUGCCUCUGUAAGACAGGACGGAAUCCAGGAGCACAGGGUCGGGAGGCCUCAGAUCCAAGCCCCAGGGCCCGUGGCUGCUCAGCAGUGUCUCCCUUCCACCAGAGCAAGAAGCCACGAGGCCUCCCACCUGGUUCCAGCCUGCACUCUGCCCUCCCAACACAAACCUGUCCCCCUGGGAUGCCUCUCCCCCAAAUCAGGACGGGGGGGCCAACCUGGGGAAAGAGGAUGUGCCACCCGUCCACAGCCCUGCCCGGCCCAUCCCCCCACAGGGCACAGCAGGUGGUGGCAUCUGGAACAGGGGCCCACCUCUCCCACCCCAAGCACACCAGCCCAGCAGUGCCCGAGCUUGCGGCACACACUUGGAGACACGCACACUCCCGGCCCCAGGAGGAACCACGGCCAUCCCCAGCUGCGGUGCGCUUUAUUACCACUGGCAUCAUUAGGACGACGGUGGGAACACAGGAAGACAGCACUCAUUUCCAAACUGCCACAGCGGGCAGUAACUGUUUCCAGAAGACAAUGAAUCCAGUGUUGAUAGCUCAGGGCUUCCUGCCCCAGGAAAGCAGCCCAGGGCCUCUGAGCCCCGAGUAUCACCAAAAGGCGCUGUGCCAUGAGGCUGGCCACAUGCCCACCAGGAGAGUGAGGCGCGCAGGGAGACGAGCCGUCUGUCCACCUGCUGCAAAGGCCAGUGGUCCCUUCACUCCAGACAGGGCAGAGGAAUAA
rnacentral:lncRNA from 1 species